UAUAGUCAUUAUUCAUGGUCUGUACAUUACACAUAAGCUUAAUAUCGUUUUUAUGUAAAUUCCAUUUUGCUUUUAUGCAUGGAAAAUUAUAUCUUUAAUGUAACGAGCUAAAACAAUGGAGUCAGUAAAGAAAAUGACUCUAUUACUCAGAUGCGUAAGAGAACACUAACGGUCUGUACUGCUUAUAAUCGCUAUUCGGUCAACGCUGUCGUAGCGACAGGAUUAAACUAUAAUACAAUUAUUUUGUAGACAUUUCUUUUCUUAGAAUUUGCCCAUAGCAGUAAUGUUGUAACAUUAUUGCAACGUUGCUGCAACGUUACUGCACUGUUGCUGCAAGCUUCUGUGCUGUAUAGGUGCAAAUCCAAUGUUUGUUUCCUUUUUAGUAAAAGUGCGAAAUGCGUUCUCAGGGGAAUUUUUCUUAUCGGUAGAUAGCUGAAGGCGAUGCCGGUUCGAGUUCUUGACCAUUGGCGGACAAAGGAAAAUGGCCUUCUCGAAUUUUAUCGCGAUGUAGGAGAUUGCUCUUGGCCGCGCUCGAUCGUCCAUAAAGAACGGAACGUGCAGACUGUGAGGAAUGCAUCUUCACCGGUACGCACCGUACAGCCUCAAGCUGCGAAGGAUGAAAGUUGCAAUCGUCGAUGCAGCUGAGAGCCGUUAGAGCCGAGAUGGAUGAGAUUUUCUGAAUGCAACGGCGCGUUGUCGUUGCAGUCGAGGUCACCAGCUUAGGGAUCACCCGGGUCUCCGUGUCACUGCAGCGAGGAACCGACGAAGAACCGUCUGUACGUGAACGACGGCACUUAUCUUCGCCCGCAUAUGAAAGGUAAAAAAAGCCUGCGGGUUCUUUCUCCUUCGGCAAGCAUGAUCAUCACGUUGCCUCGUCGCCGUGCAGUGACAAUGGACGUAGUUCUCGCACUGCACGUCGAGUAUUCUUCGCUCAGUCUCACGAUCGUGCGUGGAAUAAUUAAGCCACGCACGUCACGGAUGGCAGCGAUUGCUAGCACUCUCCUCUCUCGCCAGAGGAGAGUGUCAACGGAAAAGUUGAGGAAGUCCCAGGGAGGAAAUUGUAUAACCGUAUUAGGAUUACAUCUCCUGAUACGGCCGAUCCGACGUUCUUCCAAAUUAUACCUCGAGCAGUACUCGGGUGAUCACCGGAGCGUGUUCGAUUUACCGUACGCGAGCGCACGAUACAAGUCUCGAUACGGUACGCGUAAAAACUAUCCAUUUGCUUGCUGGCGACGCGUGUCAUAACGCGUAUUUUUAGGAAGGCGAGUUUUUUGGUUUCCGUGGGGACUAGUUUUUCUCCUCGGGUAUACUCUGGGUGCGUUAGCACGAGCACGUCAUACGUCUAAAUAAUUGCAUCUACGACAGUCGUUUCAGCACGCGAUAGAACUCGAUGGAAUCGUAUCGCGCGGUGGUCCCUUCUCGAUUUGCGUAAUGCGACAUAAUAAUUUUUCCGGACCGAUAACCCACCUCUCGCGGGGGCCUGGUUAACUGUUCAUUUGCAUAUCCCGUUUCUGCAACAGUUGUAUCGAGCGACGACCGCGCGAUUUCGCGGUACGAAUUCCCCAUUAAACGUCGCUCGCCGGUCGCUCGUCAUCAUGGCGUUUUUUUUCUCUCUCUCUCUUUCUCUCUCUUUCCUUUCCUUUUGCCGGCAUUUGCGGAUGCACGCAUGCAACUCGACGGUUAAUACGUAGCGCGAGAAGGAAAGUGCGGAUAGCCAUGGCGAUAUUCGUAAAGACCGGCGAUGAUACGCUCGGAAAAACGGGCUACUGCAUGUGCAGCUAUCGCGCGCAGCUGAGCAUGUCGAAAGCAGGCGCGGAAAGUGAUGUCUUUUAUCUCGGCAGACGCGUACGUUACAGCGCAGCUGUGCGCGAUAUCUGGAAAAAUCGCCGGUCGCGUGAUUCGAAUCGCGAAUUCGCAUCGCGAUUCUGAAUCCGCGGUCACGGUGUUUAAUGCAAUUGAAGGGGCAAGUGCUUGAAAACGAGAAUGCUUGUCGAUCUGGGGAGUAGAUACGAGCGAUUCUUCUACCAAGUGAUGCAUCUGAAAUACUUUCUUUGCAAGUAUUGUAUUUUCUAUCAUUUUUUUGAUAAUAAAUAUUCAUUGAACGUUUCAUGUCUCAUGGAGGAACAAUGGAGAGGAGGGCAACACGUUUACCCGUUAAACGAACCGUUAAAUGAGAGGAACUGGAAUCUUUACGUUUUAUUUUUUAACGCUAUCUGGUUAAAUUAAUUUUGAUGUCUUGGCGUGCAGAUAUAUUUCUAGUUGUAAAUUGCGCGUGAUAUUUGAGGCAAGUAAGAAUUCUAAGCGUUAAUCGCGAAAUAUCUGCAUUUAUUUAAGAGGUUCUCGUUGGGAAACGGAAGCGAUAUCUCGAUUUUAUGAUCUCUCGGAUCCGCUGUGAGACUGUCCCACGUACCGAUUUCUAUACUUACGUGUGUGCACGCCAGUCAACCGUGCACGCGUGUCCGUAUACCUAAAUAAAGUACAUUGUGACCUGGUUGUACAGUGUUACAGCCAUAAUUACCCGCGCACGCAAUACGAUUGGAAACCAUGGUGAAAAGUGCACCGAAAAUCCCGACCCACAUAUUACGUGCAUUUUAGACAGUCUAAUACGUGCAUUUAAUUAUUUUCUUAAUUAUCCUGAUUACUUAAAUUAACUAACGCCGAAAUUUCAAUUUUAGAAAAAUAUUUUGUCUUCUUGUCUUCUGUUCUGCCUUAACAUUUUUCAAUAAGAAAGAAUACCAGAUAAAAUUAAAUAUCGAUGACCGACUCUGUGUCUAAAUUAAUUAACCGACAUCGGAGAAAGUAAAUUUUAAAUUUAAGAAGAUAUUUUAAUGUGUGCAUGAAUUGAGAAAAUUGGAAGUAUUUUCGCGUGUUGAUAUUCCAUAAAUAUAAUAAUACGCGACACUCGGCCGUAACAAAAUCAAACAACAAUUUACUUGCUAUUGUGACAAUAAUAGUACUUUUACCAUUCCAUUAUGAGCAAUGAUGAGCACUGUCAGACCAUGAAACUCCACCGGAGAAUGCAGGAUACAGGCGAGGUCAGUGCUGUUCGAUUUUUCAAUAUUCCAGUGAGGCAAUCGCCGUCCGCCUUUCCUCGCAAACGGAGGUGGACAGGGAGGUGGAUCUGUGAUCGAUCUGAAUUGCAAAUCACUCGGAGCAUCGCGCAAGGAAGUAUUCGAAGAAGCAGCAGCUGCUAUGCGCUCGUUAAAGUCUCUCGAUGUGACUUGGCGGUCCCGCGCGAAGAGACGCGCUUCUUGUCGCUGACGAAAUUGCGACAACCCGCGAUUAUGUCAACCCGCAUUCCAAUGAUAUCCAUGAUGGAAGUGAACGGAUCGACGGGGUGAACCUUCACCCUUUCGCUGCGCGAUUAAAGCCGCCUUGCGUAGGGCCCCGCGUCGCCGAUGCAGAAACGCACGGAAUGUGACUGGGAGGAAGUGACGGGUCGGAGCGCGAACGCUUUUGCUUUUACUGAUGAAGGAAAUGUGCCUCGAGAAAUCUCAAUAGAGAAAUACUCUCGUGUAACGGAUACUGGUGGAUAGAUAUAAGCGCUGAUGACCUUGUCUUUGCAGUUAAGUUUGCGGUUUCUUUUGGAUUCCAUCGCGGCGGGAAUCUACUGCAUUUAAUUACUCACGAAUUACUUAAUUGAAAGUAUUUAAAAGCAAAAUAAUGUUUUAUUAAAAAAUAUAUAAAAUUUAAAAGUAAGAAUUAGAAAGGAGAGUGAUAGAAUUGCGCAAAAUUUUCACUAGAAACAUUAGUAUUUGCCAGCUUUGUUGUAAAGUCCAGGGUGAAAGGGCAAAGGCGACUUCAUGCAUACGUUUUCUUACUCACGUAGGAUGUUGUCCUUGAGCAGAAUUAUAAAGCGUAUUAUUAGAACUUUUUCCAGUGAAAUUUGCAAGAGAAAGAGAAAAGAGCGCUUAAGGGGGCACAACUUUGCUAUUACCGAUAUGAAUCGGACGCUUUCAGUAUUCAUGAUCUAAUCGACAAAUAAGCCGCCCACUCAGGAAAGUAAGACAUUAUUCAUAUGUAAUGCGAACAGAAAUAGUGGUUUCACGCACUUGAUAGGAAACUAUGUUAUUACAGUCUAGAAUGUAGCAGAACGUAACGCAUUGAGCUAUCUUGUUGUCUGUCACAGAUAUUUUAUUUCGUUAUUAUAUUUUUUUAUUUUAUAUAAAUAUUAAGCGAAAUAAGAUUCAUAAAACAAGAGAGAGAAAGUAAGGAAAUCAAAGCAGAGUAUGUCGCGAGUAAUUUUAUUAUUAUAAGGAGAUUAAAUGAUUAAAUGAUUAAAUUACGUACAUGGUUGUAUUUUUGAAAAUCAUUAACCAUAAAUCGCGCGCGCGGUCUCCUUUCCUGAGAAAAAGACAUGUGGAAUGCUUUAACGCGAGCUUUUAAUUCACGGUUCAACGACGGAGAACCUGAUUUUGCAUAACGAGAAAGGUUCGUUGCUACGGUGAAAGCAACACAGGUGAUUAACAACUGCUCUGUUACUCCUUUUUCGAAGGCGGCCGAUCCGCUCCGCAGAUUCAGGAGAAUUUUAGGAUGCCUUUUAUUUUAUUUUCGAAAAGAGAGAGUGCAGCGACGUUUUCCACAUGUUGCAUAAUCGGAACUGAGUAUACUCGUGUUUGUGAGAUUCCUUUGCCACGUGCGAAUUCUUCCUUUAUUUAUACGAUGUGAUGUUUAUUUUUGAAACAUAGAUUUCAAUCUUAUGAAUCUUUCUCUAAUCUGAUGAAUCUUUCUUUUCCAAACUCCAGAAAAAAUUGUGUGUCUUUAUUAAAGAAAACGCUUAUUUUAUGUAUCUAUGUCACAACUUCACUGCGAAUUGACUGCCUAUUACUUUGACUUAUGUUUUUGCUUAUGCCAGCUGAAAAGAAAUUUAAAAUCUAGUUAUAACCGUUAUAACUUGGAAAGUAUGCGGAGACAAAUCUUUGAAGAUAUUUUUUAUGACUGAAAAGUCUAUAAUAAAAUUUUUAUCAGUCUAUGGAAAAUUAUCAAAGGGAAAAAACUACUUCUUAAUUAACUGAUAUUGUUUUGACGAUUUUUUGAUAUAAACUCUGCAUUGAAAGUUUAUAUUUAUAUUGUUAUAAGAGAAAAGAGAAAAUUUAUUUAUAAGAGAAAAGAGCGCUUAAGAGAGCAUUUCGCUAUUACCGAUACGAACAAUAAUCAAUUUUCAACUUAUGUGUUUAGAAUUAUUAUACACAUAAAAAUUAAUUCAAACGCAAAUAUCCGAAGAAUUCAAUGAGAAAAUAUUACACAAUCAUGUAUUGCAUUAAAAUAAAAAGUUAAU